AUUUUUGUAAGGAAGGUCAAAUUGAUAGAUGUUAUAAUUAGAUAAGACUGCACAAAGUGGAUAGGUGAUUUUGGAGUAUUAUCUAAGUACAAAGUAAUUCUGGAAACUUGGGAGGAAGAAGAAUUGAUGGGAAUGAGAAAGCAAAGGAUGAGGGAGCGAAGGUAAAAAGUGGCUUUCAUCCUAGGAUGGGAAUUUUUAUAUGCUUAUGUAACGGUGGGAUCAGUAACAAAGAUGUGUACUAGAUAGCACAUAUUCCUGUUAUAGCCUGAUUUCAAGGCUUUCAUUUUCAGCAUCAAACAUUGAGAUUCUAUGUUCAGUAACUGUAGUAAUUAAUAAUAGAACCCAAGUGUGUGACUUGCUCAGAUUUAUGAUUACCCUAAGGUGCGGCUCAUAUUAUAGAUCCUG
rnacentral:misc_RNA from 1 species